AGUUAAAUAGUCUAAUGAUUAGGAUUUUAAAUUGCAAAUUUAAAGGUAAAAAUAUUUUUUUAACUU
rnacentral:tRNA from 1 species